UCCAACAAACAAUCUUCUGAUCAUUUUAGUUUUGCUCUCAUAUGAAAACCUUUUUCGCUUUUGUACUGUAGCCUGGAAAACUAUCCAUUCCGGUGGUUUUAUAUUUUUAUUGAGGCAGUUGUAGCUGAUGAUUAUCGGUCUUCAGGGGGUUCAAAAUUUGAGGCUGAUUAUGAACUAUCUACCUGUUUGAUGGUUUGCAAUUCAUAGUGCUUCAGUUACCUUUGUGAGCUUGCUUUGUAUUAGAUGGGCUUAUUCUUGAUUAAAACCAGGUGCGGGUGCAAUCUGAUCCUGCAGGCCGCUUAGUUAUAUCUGGUCAGCCAGAACAGCUGGAUAAUCCUUGGGGAGUCACUCCAUUCAAAAAGGUAGUCAGCUUACCAUCCAGGAUAGAUCCUCAUCAGACAUCUGCUGUGGUUACCUUACAUGGCCAGUUGUUUGUGCGAGUACCAUUUGAGCAGUCAGACACCUAGAAUGUGGAAAAGGUACAUUGAGCUCCAUUUGCUCUGUCUGGUUAUCUGAAGACAGAGAGAGAAGGAGAGAUUGUUGGGGGAAAUGGAGCUACGGAUGUCAAAUUUGCAAUGAAAGUUUGACUUUGUACUGCAAGCUCACAAUGAAGCUUAAAGUUUUUUUUUUUUUUUUUUUGUCUUAAGAAAAAAGAAAACACUUGCUGCUGUUUAACGUAAGCUUUGCGGCUGAAUUAUCUUUUGUGUAGAUACUAUCUACUUACUGUAGGUUCAGUAUGCUUAACUUUUCCGACCCUUCUCUUUGCUGUCCGGUUCAUGUGGUUCCUUUAGUUGGACCUGUACAUUUUCGUUGCCAAACAUACAUGCUUGCUAUCAUUUUUCUUCGAA